GGAGGGUUGGCCGAGUGGCUUAAGGCGCCGGUCUCGAAAACCGGUUUCCGCAAGGAAGCACAGGUUCGAAUCCUGUACCCUCCGCUA
rnacentral:tRNA from 1 species